AAAUAACAGAUUCACAAUCAACAGGCAUGAGGUUAUGCUGUCACGAUAAACCAAAGAUCUAUGGUAAGGGCACUCUUCCUCUGAGCAGACCACUUUGCCCCUCCCUUGACACAUGCAGACUUUGCAUCCAUCUUGAAACGACUCUCCAAUAGGGUACCUCCUGUAGUUGUACUCACAAUCUUUGGAAUCAAAGAAUAUGGCCUAGUUAUGAUACAUUUUUCUUGUAUAUCAACAAUUUAAAAUUUUAUAAUCAAUUUAAUAGAUUCGUCGAAGU
rnacentral:sRNA from 1 species